rnacentral:ribozyme from 1 species
AAGAAAAAAAAGAAAAAGGAAGAAAAGGAAAAAGAAAAGACACAAAAAGCAGCCCCUUCUAUCUCACUCAUUUUUA